rnacentral:rRNA from 1 species
CAGUCGCCACGGGAAUACGUAGGGAGCUAGCGUUAUUCGGAAUUACUGGGCGUAAAGCGCACGUAGGCGGCUUUGUAAGUAAGAGGUGAAAGCCCGGAGCUCAACUCCGGAACUGCCUUUUAGACUGCAUCGCUUGAAUCCAGGAGAGGUGAGUGGAACUCCGAGUGUAGAGGUGAAAUUCGUAGAUAUUCGGAAGAACACCAGUGGCGAAGGCGGCUCACUGGACUGGUAUUGACGCUGAGGUGCGAAAGCGUGGGGAGCAAACAGGAUUAGAUACCCCAGUAGUCCCUGUCUCUUAUAC